GAUGAACGCUGGCGGCGUGCUUAACACAUGCAAGUCGAGCGAAGCACUUUUGCGGAUUUCUUCGGAUUGAAGCAACUGUGACUGAGCGGCGGACGGGUGAGUAACGCGUGGGUAACCUGCCUCAUACAGGGGGAUAACAGUUGGAAACGGCUGCUAAUACCGCAUAAGCGCACAGUACCGCAUGGUACGGUGUGAAAAACUCCGGUGGUAUGAGAUGGACCCGCGUCUGAUUAGCUAGUUGGUGGGGUAACGGCCUACCAAGGCGACGAUCAGUAGCCGACCUGAGAGGGUGACCGGCCACAUUGGGACUGAGACACGGCCCAAACUCCUACGGGAGGCAGCAGUGGGGAAUAUUGCACAAUGGGGGAAACCCUGAUGCAGCGACGCCGCGUGAGCGAUGAAGUAUUUCGGUAUGUAAAGCUCUAUUAGCAGGGAAGAAAAUGACGGUACCUGACUAAGAAGCCCCGGCUAACUACGUGCCAGCAGCCGCGGUAAUACGUAGGGGGCAAGCGUUAUCCGGAUUUACUGGGUGUAAAGGGAGCGUAGACGGCAUGGCAAGCCAGAUGUGAAAGCCCGGGGCUCAACCCCGGGACUGCAUUUGGAACUGUCAGGCUAGAGUGUCGGAGAGGAAAGCGGAAUUCCUAGUGUAGCGGUGAAAUGCGUAGAUAUUAGGAGGAACACCAGUGGCGAAGGCGGCUUUCUGGACGAUGACUGACGUUGAGGCUCGAAAGCGUGGGGAGCAAACAAGAGUAGAUACCCUGGUAGUCCACGCCGUAAACGAUGAAUAAUAGGUGUCGGGUGGCAAAGCCAUUCGGUGCCGCAGCAAACGCAAUAAGUAUUCCACCUGGGGAGGACGUUCGCAAGAAUGAAACUCAAAGGAAUUGACGGGGACCCGCACAAGCGGUGGAGCAUGUGGUUUAAUUUGAAGCAACGCGAAGAACCUUACCUGGUCUUGACAUCCCUCUGACCGCUCUUUAAUCGGAGCUUUCCUUCGGGACAGAGGAGACAGGUGGUGCAUGGUUGUCGUCAGCUCGUGUCGUGAGAUGUUGGGUUAAGUCCCGCAACGAGCGCAACCCCUAUCUUUAGUAGCCAGCAUUUAAGGUGGGCACUCUAGAGAGACUGCCAGGGAUAACCUGGAGGAAGGUGGGGAGGACGUCAAAUCAUCAUGCCCCUUAUGACCAGGGCUACACACGUGCUACAAUGGCGUAAACAAAGGGAAGCGAGCCCGCGAGGGGGAGCAAAUCCCAAAAAUAACGUCUCAGUUCGGAUUGUAGUCUGCAACUCGACUACAUGAAGCUGGAAUCGCUAGUAAUCGCGAAUCAGAAUGUCGCGGUGAAUAAAAUCCCGGGUCUUGCACA
rnacentral:rRNA from 1 species